rnacentral:lncRNA from 10 species
AUGGUAUUUGUCUUAUCUGCCCCCACACCUUGAUCACAGAAAAAUCCAAUUCUGCUGUACAGGCUUAGAAGCUUGCGGCAGGGGGCAAGAUACCAAAAUACAAAUGUCCUGUCACACGACUUGGACUGCACUGAAGGUUUACCUCUAGAUAAUAAAAAUAACAACAAUAACAACAACAACCACAGUAUUUUAGCUAGAAUAUUUUCUGAACACUUAGGAUCAACAGGCACUGUGCUAAAUGUUUUCCUCGCAUUAUUUCAUUUAAACUUCACAACAAUCCUAUGAGGUGGUAACCAUGAUUAAUCCAGAGAAGUUAAACCACUUGCAGUUAGUAAGUAGCUGAAGCAGGUAUUGAACAUAUUCCUAGGUCACUGCUUUUCACUACUUUGCUAAGAGGUGUUAGUUGAAAGCAUGAUUUUGGAUGUUCUCUUAAAAGACCAGGACCCUUUUUCCACUUACUUGUCUUUUCCAUAAUUAGUGGUUAAUCUUAGUCUUACUUUAUUCCAAAUUUCUCUUGAUAGAACUCCAAAAAUACUUAACAACUUCCAAAUGUAAUAGUGGGUGACCCGGCGCUUUCUCAUUUAUACUUUCAGUUCAGGUCAAGUGUCAUCACACUGAAGCCUUCAAGCAUGACUGAGUUUGCGCUAGAAGUAUAGAAAAAUCUAAUUUGUCACCAACCACUUCAUAAGAAGAUAGGCACAAAAACUAAGUGGCCUUAUCCAAUUGAACUCCUUACCUGUGCUGAGUCUAAUCAUAAAUACUAAUUUUUAAAAUAAACCUCACAUGUUUAAUUUGAUUUUUUCUGAAAAUAAAAAAGUAUUCCCAUAUGAUUACUUAGAAUAAAUCUAGUAAAUCACUGUCUUCGUCGUACCAAAGAUUUUUUAAAAGCCUACUCCAAUAGUUUUCAUGUGGUUAACUGUAUGGGUCCUACUGAUGGGACAAGUCCUAGAAUUAAAAAAAAAAAAAAAAAAAAAAAAGAAAAAAAGAAAAAGGGAGAAAUGCCUUUUUUAAGACUAUGAGAACAGAAUUACUUUAUGCUAUUUAGAGAAGCUUGGAAGAUUUUUUUCCCUUUGGUAAAUGCCACAAAAGAGACAUUCCUCAUGAAAACUUAACAGAGAGACAGGCUGUAGCAUAGUGAGGAUGGCCUCUGGGAAUAGUUAUAGGAGAGAGUUUGGAGCCAGGAUCAGUAAUUAUGAGACACCAAGGAAAAAAGCAGAGGUUACAUAGACAUAAAACAUUCUGAAAGUAAUAAUGGAAGUGGAAUGAGAGGAUGAAACACAGAAAAUGCUUUAAAUAAAAGUAGUUCUCACCAUACAAAAACCAAUAGCAUUCACAUCUGGUGUAGCAGAAUAUAUAUCAGACUUAGACAUAUCCUUAAAAAUAUACUGAAAGCUGAAUGUAUUCUUAAAAAUAUGCUAGACAGAGAGUACUGGAUUUUGAAUCUUGGACCUUCACUUAAAAUGUGAGUGACCUUGAACAAUUUACUAUACCUUCGGUUUCAUUAUUCGCAAAAUAAAAGUCAUGAAACAACAUAUGUGAAAGUGCCUAGCAUAUAUAGUAAGUGUUUAAGAUGUAUACUUUUGAGUCUGAAUUAUAUAACCAGUUCUAUGCUAGAGGCAAGAAUGCUUAUUAUGGCGAAAAGGACUUGAAAUGUAAUUUUCAGUCCUCAGAUUUCUCAAGAUCAAUCACUUGAUAGGCAGCAGGG